ACGGAGGGCGCAAGCGUUGUUCGGAAUUACUGGGCGUAAAGCGCGGGCAGGCGGUCUGUUAAGUCGUUUGUGAAAACCCGGGGCUCAACCCCGGGAAUGCAUACGAUACUGGCAGGCUGGAGACUGGUAGAGGCUAGCGGAAUUCCUGGUGUAGCGGUGGAAUGCGUAGAUAUCCGGAGGAAUACCAGUGGCGAAGGCGGCACGCUGGGCCAUAACUGACGCUAAGACGCGAAAGCAUGGGUAGCGAACGGGA
rnacentral:rRNA from 1 species